AGAGGGUGAGAAUCCCGUACGUGGCCGUUGGCCUUCGCCAUGUAAAGCCCCUUCGACGAGUCGAGUUGUUUGGGAAUGCAGCUCUAAAUGGGAGGUAAAUUUCUUCUAAAGCUAAAUAUUGGCCAGAGACCGAUAGCGCACAAGUAGAGUGAUCGAAAGAUGAAAAGCACUUUGGAAAGAGAGUCAAAAAGCACGUGAAAUUGUUGAAAGGGAAGCGCUUGCAGCCAGACUUGCCCGUAGUUGCUCAUCUAGGCUUCUGCCUGGUGCACUCUUCUGCGGGCAGGCCAGCAUCAGUUCAGGCGGUCGGAUAAAGGUCCUGGGAAUGUGGCUCUCUUCGGGGAGUGUUAUAGCCCAGGGUGCAAUGCGACCAGCCUGGACUGAGGUCCGCGCAUCUGCUAGGAUGCUGGCGUAAUGGCUGUAAGCGGCCCGUCUUGAAACACGGACCAAGGAGUCUAACAUCUAUGCGAGUGUUUGGGUGUCAAGCCCGAGCGCGCAAUGAAAGUGAACGGAGGUGGGAACCCGCAAGGGUGCACCAUCGACCGAUCCUGAUGUCUUCGGAUGGAUUUGAGUAAGAGCAUAGCUGUUGGGACCCGAAAGAUGGUGAACUAUGCCUGAAUAGGGUGAAGCCAGAGGAAACUCUGGUGGAGGCUCGCAGCGGUUCUGACGUGCAAAUCGAUCGUCAAAUUUGGGCAUAGGGGCGAAAGACUAAUCGAACUAUCUAGUAGCUGGUUCCUGCCGAAGUUUCCCUCAGGAUAGCAGUAACGUUUUCAGUUUUAUGAGGUAAAGCGAAUGAUUAGAGGCCUGGGGGUUGAAACAACCUUCACCUAUUCUCAAACUUUAAAUAUGUAAGAAGUCCUUGUUACUUAA
rnacentral:rRNA from 1 species